CUGACCUCUGCACCCUUUUGCUCCCCACCUGUCCCAAAAAAGUGGAGCUAUAACUGUGGGAAAAGGGGAUCUGAAGUCAGACACAGGAUCCACAGUAGCCUGGGGACCUUUCUCACCCCCGCCCUUAAGCAGGCCCCAACAUAACCGGCUGAGAAACCUCCUCUGCCAGAUCCUGACCUGAGCCAGGAGGCGGCCAGGAAACUGGAUUUUGGGACUGGGAUUUCAGAGAGGAAGCUGGAGAGCUGCAGGGUGGUCAUCUGUCACUUUAUUUUGCCCGUCUUGUAGCAUGUGGGUCUUUCGCAGCAGGAAGUGUGUUUUACAACCAGAGCCCCCGCCCUCCUGCAGCGCAGGCGCAGCUGGCUGGGCUCCUGCUUCCCACUCUCCACCUCAUCCAUAUUUGUCCUCGUCCCUGCCAGUCUCGAAAAGGCACUCUGUCACGUGUACACAGGAAAGGGCCCUGACAAGAGGAUGGGACUGCAGUUGUGGCUGCCAGAGUCUUGCUUUGUCGCCCAGGUUGGAGUGCAGUGGCACGAUCUCGGCUCAGUGCAACCUCCGCCUCCUGAGUUCAAGUGAUUCUCCUGCCUCAGCCUCCCUAGUAGCUGGGAUUACAGGACAAGGAGAGGGACAAAUUCCUUCUUGGCAUCCUUAUGGCCCUGUGACCUGCUAAUGAAUGCUGACUCUGAGUUGCUACUAGAAUUUGGUUUCCUUGUGGCUUCCCAGGAAUUGUGAGCCAUGUUGGAUAAGGACCUGCAAGGGAAGAAUGAGGAAGCCUGGGACAGUGCAGGAGGGGAGAGCACUGGUGGUAGAGAGGAGUGAUGACAAGGGUCUCCGCCAAAAGGGAAAUGGAGGGGUUAAAGAAGCUGCUGGGGAGGGUUAAAAACAAUGUGUUCUCACUCGUAGGUGGGAAUUGAACAAUGAGAACACUUGGACACAGGAAGGGGAACAUCACACACUGGGGCCUGUCGUGGGGUGUGGGGAGGGAGGAGGGAUAGCAUUAGGAGAUAUACCUAAUGUAAAUGAUGAGUUAAUGGGUGCAGCACACCAACAUGGCACAUGUAUACCUAUGUAACAAACCUGCACAUUGUGUACAUGUACCCUAGAACUUAAAGUAUAAUUAAAAAACAAAACAAAACAAAACAAAAACAAUGAGGUGCUAUUGUUUUAGUGGUGAGUAUCCGGAGACCUGGGAGUUCUAUUUACCAGGUAUAACCUGGGCUCAAAAUUCCAGGCUGACUUCAGGCAUGUCCUCAUCUCAUAGAUGCCAGCACUAAGGCCCAGAGAGGGCCGAGCUCAUUCAGCCCACCCAUCUUCUCACCCCUGACUGCAUUUCCCGGGGGUCCUUCUGCAGCCAGGUGCUGCUGUGGUACUUUGGGAUCUAUUGGCUGAGCUCCCAGAGAAGGGUCAUGGAUUGGGCUAGUUUGGAACAAGUGAAGGGACUGAAGAUGGGCUCAGUAUGGGGCGAAGACCUUCAGGAAGGGUCUGCAGAGUGAGUAGGGGGGUUUUGACUAGGAAAAGUUCCAACCCUGCCGGGGCCGCUGUCAAGAGAAAAGCAUCUAUUACAGUUACAUUUUUAAGUUAAGUAGACUGAAGAAUAUUUCUUGUGUAUUAAAGACGUUCCUUUUUGGUUGAUUUGCAAUGGAAAAGCUUUUGUUUUCUUUUUUUUUUUGGAAACAGGGUCUCACUCUGCUCACUCUGUCUCCCAAGCUGGAGUGCAGUGGUACAGUCACGGCUCACUGCAGCCUCCACUUCCUGGACUCAAGUGAUCUUCUCACUUCAGCCUUCUGAGUAGCUGGGACUACAGGUAGACCCAGUGUAAUCACAAGCAUCCUUGUAAGUGGCAAAGAGGCAGAGGAGACAGCGCCAGAGAGGCAGCUGCAUGAGAAGGAUCAAGAUGUUGCUGACUUUGAAGUUGGAAGAAGAAGGCCAUGAGCCUCAGUAUGUGGGCGGCUUCUAGAAGCUGGAAGGGGCAAGGAGAUGGAUUUGACCCUUCAGCCUCCAGGGGCAGCUGUACCUGCCAUCACUGAUUGUAGCCUGGUGAGGCCUGUUUUAGACUUCUGACCUGUAGAGCUGUAACAUAAUACAUUUGGGUUGUUUUCAACCACUAAGUUUGUGGUAAUUUGUUGUAGCAGCUGUAGAAAAUGAAUACAUAUGAAUCCUCUGGCAUUUGUUUGAGAUUUGCUCUAUGGCCUAGUAUGUGGUUGUAAAUGUUCCAUCUGUGCCUGAAAAAAUGUAUAUUUCUAAUUCAGUAGUCUCUGCUUUUUUUUUUUAUUUUGUACCCCAUCAAUAAAAUGAUUUUCAGCAUGUAUCCCCAAAUAAACAAUAUUUUAUUUAUUGAUUGAUUGAUAAACAGACAUGUUUAAUGAUAGCUUGCUUUUCACAGAGGUGACUUCGGAGACUUCUAAUCUAUAAUCCAGGAGUAUAUAACCAUGCAGCACAGACCAAUUAGUCACAUGUAAAAUAAACUAGAUUCUUACCAC
rnacentral:lncRNA from 1 species